GCGGAUGUUCGAUGCGUUGUGAAGCAACGGCUGGGGGCGGGACAUGGGACGAUUUUGGGGCGGAAGAAGGAAGUAGAGCGCCUUUUUCCAUGUAUCUCUAUGGUGGACUUGAAGCCAUGUAGUUCCUAGGCAAUUCUUGCCGAGUCGGCCCUGUUUCGUUAAAACGGUAGUCUCCCCUCCCUCCUAAACAACCCAGAUAUUUUUUUCGGGCUGACCCUUUAUUUAAGAAAGCUAUUAAAAUAGUUUAAAUGACCAAUGAGCAUGGCUAUUUGGGUUGAUUGGCAGUUGCCAUUCUUUAGAAUUAUUGUUUUGAUUGACAGGCAGGCCGUUGUCAAGGAGAAGGGCGAGUCUCGCGGCGUCUCCAGGGGAAGCCCCCUCUCUCCCUGCUGCAUUACUUUCAACCAGCUCUGCUUUCAACAGCUUCAUCACUGCGAUGGAUUAUUUAAUUUUGGUACACUUUCCCCACAAAUAUGCUUUGUUGUACUUUUGGAUGUACUUCUCCGUAUUCUGUAAGGACCUCUGCGGUUUUGGCAAAACAACAAACCACACUUCACCUGGAAAACACAGCCAGGACUCACUGUCAGAUGUCUGAAAAUGUACAGUACACGCCAGCAGGUCUCACCAUAGUCAACAUCAUUAAGGAUUUGACUCUCUGACCUGAGAAGAGGCCCCAUAAACACACCUGACAAGGACCAGCCACUGUUGCCAGUGCACAACUGAGGACCUGACCAGCCUGCUGCCAUCUAUGAUACUAUAUAGUACCCGCGGAGGUGUCUGAAGACGUGGAGUACACUGCAGCAGGUAUCACAUGACCAAGGACUUGGACAACGUCUCUGUUUACAUCUAUAGUGUAUUACACAACUGAAGAUGUGCACAGUACGCUGCUGCCUGCAUCCUACCACCACAGAGGAUCCGAUAUGCAGAACCAGCUUCAAAAACCAUUGCAAUUAUGAAACACAGUUAAUAAAUGCUUAUAUACAGCAGCCCGCACAUUUUGUUUAAUUUGUUAUAUUGGUUAACCACACUAUUGUUACAACACAAUGCAGGUGGUACAUGCAUUGGCAGGUAUCAAUAAAAAGAAAUGUAUGGAGCAUAAUCAUAUUGGGAUAGAGCAGUGGUUCCUAACCUAUGGGUCAGGACCCAACUUAUGGGUCGCCAAAGAUCCACAGUGGGUCGCGAAGCCCUCUUGAUUUUAAGGGGUUUCGUUUUAA